GGUUAUGUAAAAAUGUUAUUGCCCACUAGGAAUCAUUUAUAAUUUACAAAUAAACUUCUAAUCUCCUAUACGACAGAUCUAAAUUAAUCAAAAAACAACCAUAGUAAACUAAUCUCCAGCCAAUUCCUGGUUACAAUGAUAUGUUUUACUGAAUCACAUUCUUCAAAAGCUAUGGAUUAAUGUCUUCUUCUACAAUCGCCAUGGAUAUGCAGGAUUACUCGCACUGCUCCAUUCGGUGCAAUUUGGCACUUAAUAAUAAGGUUGACAAGACGGAUUGAAUGCAUUAUUAGGACUAUAUACUUGCAUCUGCCAUUGAUUGUUCUUUUCUGCGUUUGAGUCUUUCCCAAGAACCUCACAUCCAUUCCAGCAAGGGAUGUAGCUGCCAGCAUUGCAUAGCCUGAGCUAACUAAUGCGAUGGACAUGUACUCAUCCAUCGUUAGUAUGUAUUUCCAUCGUUAGUAUGUAUUUCUGAGCGAACCAUUUAGAUUCAAUGAAUUAUGCUCUAACUUGAAUUUUCAUCUGACAAAACAAGAGAAUUGCACGCCUUCUUAAACAAUUAAUCAAUAUUUCAUCCCUAUAUAAUUACUAUGAAUUAUGGGGCUUCAGUUAUAUAUUCGCCUGCCUGAAACUUACUGCUUCUUUUGCAAAGUAGAAACGGUAUAAUCUUCCUUGAUUGACCAUGUUUUCUUCAAUUUCUGUACAUACAUCCAGAAACGCCUUGUAAAAUUCUUUCAUGUACUCCGGCAGCUCAUCUAUUGCGCUAAUAUCCCACCUUUCUGUUACUAGCGUAAAGAGCUCAGGUUCUUAAGGCUUUCCAAAGACAUCAUAAAUAUCAUCAAUGACUGAGGUCAUAGCAAUCACUUUGGUUAGAAUCCUUAUGGCCAGAAAAUAUUCAGGCUCAAAGUACACCCCCAAAAUCCAGAAGUAGCAUUCUACGACUCUGUCUUUUGCGAAAGGAAGCUUGUUUGCAAAGUCUAAUUCUUUCCACCACUCUGCAAUAUCGCUCAAUUCCUUCUGAUGUUGUUUUUGUAAUAAGUUGAAGUCCAGCAUAGCAAAAGAUAGCAGAACUUUAUUACAUGAGGCUUCUUCUUCGUAGAUAGAUAAGUGAUGCUUUGCCUCUAGCCUGGUUAUGCCCUUGCCAAUAGGCUGCAUUAAAGCAUGGGUAAUUUGCGCUGCGAGAGGCGAACUUCAGGUAACCAGGGGCUCAAGGUGAGCAGUAGUGAAAGCUAGUGCUUCGUCUAAAAUGUCUUCUCCGUGCACCCUGAGAUGCAUAGCUUCAUACAUGCUUAGCAUUCCUCUGUGGUCAUUGACAAGGGAAUCCUUGAAGUUCCCUUGGCUGUCCUUGAACUUGUUGAAAACAUCUGCACUUGUAAAUUCACAAUCAAUGAACAUCCAUUUUUUUUUUAUAAGCAAUAUCAAAAAUUUCUUAACAUAGCCUAAAUUAAGAACAAGAAAGCAAGUGAAGGAAAAGAGAAGAGGACAUACCACAUGACAUGUUAUAGCCCUGUUUUCUAACUGGCCGAAACUUGAGAGCAAUUGCAUAUAGGUCAUUAUUAUCAUCAUCAGAUUCGGAGCUCAUCUCUUUUAGAAUUUCAUCAAUUUCACUUUCAAAAUGGUAAGAGAUGUCUAGAGAACAGUUAAGAGGAUGAACUGUUAUAGAGGUGGUUAAGAGGACUCACUUAGACAAGAACAGCUGUAACUACUUCAGUUAGAAUAACUGAAGCCAGCUGACGCUGUGUAAAUAAAUAGAAAGAACACUUGAAAUGAUAACUGAAGUUCUCAUCUCUCUAAUUCUUUCUUCUCUCUAUCUCUGCAAUUAUCUCUCUCUAACUUCUCUAUUUCUUUUCUUCCUAAUUAUUUUCUUUCCCAAUUACCUAUAACUGCCAUAUUAGGGAUUCAAAACCUAACAAAGGGAAAGGCAAGAAGGAAACAAACAAUAAUCUAAUCUUACUUUGUCAACAAACAAUAAUCUAAUCUGACUUUGUCAUCUAUCUUCUUAUUUCCUCUUCAUGCUCUCAUGCUU
rnacentral:misc_RNA from 1 species